rnacentral:rRNA from 1 species
GAUGAACGCUGGCGGCGUGCCUAAUACAUGCAAGUCGAGCGGUAAGGCUCCUUCGGGAGUACACGAGCGGCGGACGGGUGAGUAAUACGUAGGAACGUACCCCAAAGUGAGGAAUAACCAGCCGAAAGGUUGGCUAAUACCGCAUAAGCUCCACGGAGUAAAGCAGCAAGGCGCUUUGGGAACGGCCUGCGUCCGAUUAGCUAGUUGGUAAGGUAAAGGCUUAACAAGGCGACGAUCGGUAGCUGUUCUGAGAGGAUGAUCAGCCACACUGGAACUGAGACACGGUCCAGACUCCUACGGGAGGCAGCAGUAGGGAAUUUUCCACAAUGGGCGAAAGCCUGAUGGAGCAACGCCGCGUGCAGGAUGAAGGCCUUAGGGUUGUAAACUGCUUUUAUCUGUGACGAUUAUGACAGUAGCAGAUGAAUAAGGAUCGGCUAACUCCGUGCCAGCCGCCGCCGUAA